rnacentral:tRNA from 1 species
GCCGCGGUAGCUCAGUCGGUAGAGCGCACCCAUGGUAAGGGUGAGGUCGACGGUUCAAUCCCGUUUCGUGGCU